rnacentral:rRNA from 1 species
AUGGCGUCCGACUCCGCCGCGACGGUCGACGGCAGCGCGCUGGCGGGGCGGGCGCUGGCGGCCGCCGGGGCGCGGCACAUGUUCGGGGUGGUGGGCAUCCCGGUGACCUCGCUGGCCUCCCGCGCCGCCGCCGCGGGCUGCCGCUUCCUCGCCUUCCGCAACGAGCAGUCCGCGGGGUACGCCGCCGCGGCCUACGGCUUCCUCACGGGCCGCCCCGGCCUGCUCCUCACCGUCUCCGGGCCCGGCUGCGUCCACGGCCUCGCCGGCCUCUCCCACGCCACCGCCAACGCCUGGCCGCUCCUCAUGGUCUCCGGCUCCUGCGACCAGCGAGACGCCGGCCGGGGCGACUUCCAGGAGCUCGACCAGAUCGCCGCCACCAAGCCCUUCGCCAAGCUCGCCGUCAAGGCCGCCGCCAUCGCCGACAUCCCCCGCCUCGUCUUCCAGGCCCUCGCCGCCACCGUCGCCGGCCGCCCCGGCGGCUGCUACCUCGACAUCCCCUCCGACGUCCUCCACCAAACCCUCGCCGAAUCUGAGGCGGCCUCCCUCAUAGCGGAGGCCGUGGCCGCGGCCGGUUCCGCCGAUCCGUCCCCGCCGAAACACAAGUCCCUGGACCAGGGCAUCGUGGAGGCGGCCGAGCUGCUCCGGCGCGCGGAGCGGCCGCUGGUUGUGGUCGGGAAGGGCGCGGCGUACGCCCGCGCCGAGGAGGCGAUCCAGAAGCUGGUGGACACCACCGGCAUCCCCUUCCUUCCCACUCCCAUGGGGAAGGGGGUCGUGCCGGAUGUGCACCCACUCUCCUCCACCGCCGCGCGUUCCCUCGCCAUUGGGCAGUGCGAUGUGGCGCUCGUCGUCGGCGCGAGGCUCAACUGGUUGCUUCACUUCGGUGAGCCUCCCAAGUGGUCCAAGGAUGUCAAGUUCAUACUUGUGGACGUUUCUGAAGAUGAAAUUGAGCUUCGGAAGCCCCAGGUCGGUCUGGUUGGGGAUGCAAAGAGAGUCGUUGAGCUCCUCAACAGGGAGAUCAAGGAUCAGCCAUUCUGCUUGGCGCGAUCGCACCCGUGGGUUGAUGCAAUCACCAAGAAGAGCAAGGAUAAUGUGCUUAAGAUGGAGGCACAGCUUGUGAAGGAUGUUGUGCCGUUCAAUUUCAUGACACCCAUGCGGAUCAUUCGUGAUGCGAUCCUUGCCGAGGGGAGCCCUGCUCCAAUAGUGGUCUCGGAAGGGGCCAAUACCAUGGAUGUUGGCAGGGCUGUGCUUGUGCAGAAUGAGCCAAGGACAAGACUGGAUGCAGGGACAUGGGGAACGAUGGGUGUUGGGUUGGGGUACUGUGUUGCAGCAGCAGUGGCUGAGCCAGAACGGCUCGUAGUUGCUGUGGAGGGCGACUCUGGAUUUGGUUUCAGUGCAAUGGAGGUUGAGACCUUGGUGAGGUACCAGCUGCCCGUUGUCGUCAUUGUGUUCAACAACAACGGUGUCUACGGUGGGGACAGAAGAGGCCCAGAUGAGUUAACAGGCCCCUACAAAGAUGACCCCGCGCCAACCUCCUUCGUUCCUGGGGCAGGUUACCACCAGAUGAUGGAAGCGUUCGGAGGAAAGGGUUAUCUCGUCGAGACACCGGACGAGCUAAGAUCUGCCCUCUCGGAGUCGUUCCGCGCCAGGAAACCGGCGGUGAUCAAUGUCACCAUUGACCCAUAUGCAGGGGCGGAGAGCGGCAGGAUGCAGCACAAGAACUGA